UUUGAGGUCAUGAUGUGUCUGAUUAAGGUUUGAGAAUUCUGUUUCACAAAAUGACAUGUUUUUAUUUAGAUGAUGGGUCUGUGGUUCAAGGAGCUAGGCUGGCUAACAUUGGUGAAAGUGCAGCUUGUACAGCAUGUUACCAUCAGCCUCUUACGGGACCAAGUGAAGAUAUGGCAUGAGCUAAUCCAGAUAGUUAACUGUGACAUCCUCACCUUUGCUCCUCUGUGUAUUUAAUUACUGGACAAUGUUCACUGAUUCUGACUGAAGGUAUUGCGUUAAGUGUUUUGAUGACAGCUAUGGUGGCCUGCAAGGACGAGAAGCUCCUGUGAUGCAUCAUAAAUAUGUUAAAUUUUUACCAUUGAAUACUAAUCUCUACCUCGUCCUCAAACGGGUUUAUUUUACACAGACACUCCUCAAGUGUAAAAAGUUAGAUUUUAGUUUAUUGAUAUUAAAUUCCAAUUCCUCCAAGUCUGCUCUGAUAAUUAUGACCCACUGUACCUCAGAGUUCAGAGGGGAAAUGAUCCAUAAUGAUAGGUUUGAAUACUCUUUACUGUGAGGCCUCAGAGCCUCUGAAUACACAUUAAUAGUAACUUUCACAAUGAAUGGGCUCAUAUCAGCUCUGCCGGGACACUGAUAUUCAGGGUCAUUCAGCUCCAUGUCGAACUGGACCAAAGAGUCCAGUCCGAGCAUUUCACUGUGUCUGAAUUCUUGUUGAAUAUGAUCCAAACGGAAACAGUCUUUAGGGUAUAAAACUCUAAUCUGACAGUUUGUUUGAAGACUAGGGCCAGGUUUCUGAGGUGCUCAGUCCUCAGGAGUUUCUGAGGAGGAGAGGAUUUUUUACAUUUUUACCAGUCAUGAAGGAGGCUGCAGUCACAGAGAAGGUUGGUGUCUGUGUAUCAUGUGACAUUUGUAUUUUAUGGUGUGUAUGUCACACAAAGUGAGACAGGGCUGCUCAGUUUAAAAAGUUCACAAUCUGACCCCAGGUAACUAUGGCAACCACAAAUCAGACAUCCUGAGUGGUUUAAAGUCCGGUGACCCAGGUUUUCUUUCCAUUAGGAGGACAGCAAAACACUAUUAGCAGCUAACCACUUAGCAGCAGCAUGCAUUAGAGGCUCAGGUCUUCCCCCAGGACUAUUACCCCCCCCAACAAUAACAAUGUCCUCUACCCGGCCAGCCUAAUGUGACUCAUGUUUGCUUUAGCCUGACUACUCUGCAGACUCACCCAAGGGUGUCAGGUGACCCCAGGAGGUGAGGAAAUCUCCACACUGCCCUCAGUUAGCAGCUGUUUCUGUACACUGCAGGAAAAUACAGCACUAAUGACAGUAAAGAAGCAAUCAGGAGAUUUCACUAGGUCAUAACACUGAGACUUUAAGCCUCUCGACAAGUACAGGGAGCCUGCAAACCCAAGACUUUUGGAGACAUUUGAAGACCUAAAGAAUUCAUAAAUGAAAAGGUGAGAUCAGAGUUUCAGGAGGGAUACAGGGUAAUGCUCUUGUCUGGAGGGGUUCAGGCAGGAAAAAAGUUUGAACAUUAGUUUGGGACUGACCCAGACUACCACAGACUCCUCUUCAGGGUCUUUCAGGAUAUCCAGCUGUCACAACUCAGCCUCCACAAAAGCUGCAUCCUGCAGUGGCUGCACGGUCAUUAGCAUGGGGCUUUCUGUGCAGCGCUGGGCGGUCAAGCUGCUUGUAUUCACAUGCAAAUGUAAUGAGGGUUUAACCAGCCUCCAUCAAUAGAGACACAAUUUGUCCUUGAGCCACUUCAAGCUGACAUCCACCAGUGGAUUUGAUUGGUCCAGGUUUCCAGCAUGAUUUCCUUCUUUAAUAUAUCUGUUAUCACUGAAUAUCAUUAUUGUUAUUGUGUCUGCAGCAGUGAGCGCUCCCCGUCCUCAGGAGGGUGAUGUUCCUGCAGCAGGAGUUUAAAUAUGUUUCCUCCACUUCUUAGACCGCAGACUCAGAGCUGGUACCCUCUGUGGCAGCAGCAGUAAACACACAUGGACCCUGUUAACACCUGAGCACAGACAUACAUGCACACACACUUACACCUCCCUGAGAGGAACAGCAGCGUUUGAUUCUGAAGCUAUACUUCCCUCUUUGUCUUCAGACUUACUGAGCAGCUCACCCACACACACACACACACACACACACACACACACACACACACACACACACACACACACACACAGUUUGCUUCAAUUUCUCUGUGAUUAGUGAGCUGAUCCUGGAGUCUCAAUCACAGAUAUUUUUACAUGUUGUUUCUAAAUAUGUAAGAUAAAACCAUGUCAGUGUCCUUAAUUCCAAUCACUUUCACUACAAUCAUCAACUGUUAACCAGCGUUCAUUUUUAAUCUAUUUUUUUCUAUUUUUUUAUUUCUCACCACAAACUCUUAGCAGAGUUUAAAUAACAACAACAACAAUAAUAAUAAUAAUAAUAAUAAUAAUAAUAAUAAUACAUUUUAUUUGUAGGUGCCUUUCAGAGCACUCAAGGACACCUUACAGAACAGUUAAAAGACACAUCAGUAAAAUAGUAAACUCAAUAUAAAACACAUCAACACAACAAAGUUUGAAAUAAAAAAGAUGUAGGUCCAGAUAAACCAUAAAUGAAGAUUAUGGUUCAGUGGAUGAAGAUUUGGUAGGUCAAUGUUUUUAAAAACGGUUUUCUCAGGACAGUUUUGUUGGCUGUAACAGAAGUUGUAGAUCAGUCUGAGUGUGAAAUCAUUAUGGCCUACAUCAUCACCAUCAUCAUCCCGUUGAUACUCACAGACUGUUUACUGCUCCACCACCACAAAUAAACAGAGACAUUCCAGCAAAUAAACAGGACCGGUCACUCCAGCAGACUAAAACAAGGAAAUUUAACCAACCAAUCAGGCCCUCUCUGUAUGACAGACAUCCGCUGAAGAGGACAAGGUCUAAAUAUUUGGUUAAUUCAUUUCCUUCCCCUGGAUAAAUCUGCGCUCUCACAGCAUGUUUCGUAUACCUCCCCCACCCAUCUAAACAUUUACCCCAGUGUGCUGUUAAGACUGAGAUAGAAAUCUACCCCAGAAGAUGAAUAAUACUGUUGGGAAUGUUUACAGGACCAGGCCGGCUUCAAGCGAGGCUACAACUGAGAGUCUGUAAAUGUAAAUGAAGAUUUGACUGUUCCUGAAGGAGUCUCAGCAGAAGGAGCAGCUGUUUGAAAACAUGAAAGCUUGGACUUACCCUCACUGAUCAGCUGAGGGGUCCUGGACUGUUGGCAGCAGUUAAACCCUGACUCAGUUUUCAUACAUGUUUGCACUUUAGCAGAGCUGUGUUUGAUGGCAGAAGUUGUUUCAUUCAUCCUUAGGACCAGAGCCUCAGUCACAACUUGAACUUUCUUCCUUUUAAAUCACUUUUUUAAAUGUUUUUACCACGAUAUGUUUGAUCCUGAUCAGGUUAGUUUGAUUAUUAUUACCAGAUCAGACUGCUCACUUAACCUAACCUCCUUCUCCCUUUCCACCUCCCCUUCCUUAAGGAGACUGAAAUAACACUUCAUUUGGAAGAUGCUAAGCUAGUUAGCUUCACAUAGUACUAACACCUUUGGGAUAAAACUAAAGAAUAAAGUUCAAACUCUUUAUUUCACUUUUGAUCCUGAAUUUCUGAUCAGUAAAGGAGAAAACUUGAAUCCUCUAAUAAUCUGUGUUUAUUUCUGUCUUCUGAGGUUUUUAUCAGGUUCCUCAGGUCUAAACAGUGACCCCGGCCACACCUGGAUGACUAUUGACAGUAGCGUUUCUAAGAGGCCUUUUGAUUGGACAGUCGGAGUGUUGGUAACCUGGGCUCAGCCAUAGUAACCUGAUGAGUGGUUAAUAACAUGACUCUGCAGCGGGGGGAGGGGCUCAAAGGUGUGGUCCUUCCUGAAGCUUGCGUGCUCACUAAGUCUGCUUAUAAUGACUCUCACAAAGCCGUGGGGUUGGCUGCCGUCCAGCAGGUCUUCCUGACAGAGAGAAGCCCAGGCUGGCAGCCUAGCCUUAGGACUGGAGGCUUUGCUGCCUGGGCCCAGCUCUGAUGGGUGCUCUUUGUGAGGGAAGAUCUCAGGGAUUAGGGGCUGAAAGUAGAGACGCUCUCUGACAGCAUCUAUGUGACAGUAAAACCGCCACCAGAAGGUAGGAAGUGAAGAAACAACGUGUGGUCUCUGAGCUGGAUCCUGUCUUUGUAGCUCUGCAGACUAGAGUUUACAGUCUGGUCCUGCACAUAUACAGGUGUUCCUGUUUGGUCCUGCAGACCUACACUGAUUCUCUCUGUAGUGAUCCUUUUUUGGUCAGUGGUCUCCUGAUCAACCUCUGGUCUGGAUUACAGUUUCAGCGUAGGCCUAAAAACAAACAGCUGGGGACCCUCAUGUAUUCUUCAUCAUUAACCUCCUAAGACCUGGCGUCCACAUGUGUGGACAUCACAUUUUUGGUUGUCAAGACCACAAUAUUAAAUUUUGGUCUACAAGUGCCUUCUCUCAAAAUUUAAAACGAAUGUCCUCAUAUGUGGACAUCAUUUUUCUCAGAAACUACAUCAUGUAAAAAGAUCAUUCUUUGUUUUUACACUCAUCAGGUCCCAAUUAGCCUAAAUAUCAAAGAGAAAAUAAAAAUGCAUGCCUUGCAAGAGUUCGGGUCUUAGGAGGUUAAAGAGAAGAUUUAAUAUUUCUACAGACGUGAAGAAAGUGAUUACAGGAAAACCUGCUGAUCAUUUUAUCAUGUUUUAAACAUGUCAGAACUGAGACGACCUGACUUCAACAGAGGAAACAAACAGGUUUUCAUUCGGACCAAAAUCUUGAAAUCCAGAAUUUCAUGUGCAAAUAAAAAUUCAGUUUUUCCUUUUCUCUCCUUUGAAUGUCCAAUCAAAAACUUCAGAUAUCACUGUUACCUCCUUCUCAUAUAUUACCUCCACCAUCACCCCUUCUAUCACCUCCACUUCUCCUUAAACAUCACCAUCACCUCCACCAGCUCCUCCAACAUGACCCUCUCUAAAACCUCCACUCCCACCAUAACCUCCACCAUCACCUCCAACAUCACCCCCACAUCAUCUUUACAAUAAACUCCGCCACGACCUCCACCACAUCCCUCAUCUCCAUCCCUAGACCCUCCUGACUCUUUGGGGGACAACCGGAAACUCAUCAGCCAGUGAUCCAGCACACGAGGUCCUUAACCUGACUCCCCACAGAGCACUGACACUCAUGGGUCAGAGCCUGCCUCUCCCUCUCUCUCGCUCUCUCUCUCUCUCACACACACACACACACACACACACACACACACACACACACACACACACACACACACACACAGACACAGAGGGGCUGCUGUCUCUUUACUCUGUGGGGCUCUGGGUGUUUUUUCAGGCAGACUCAGUGUUCAGUGUGAAGUGACCUGGUCUGAACCUCAGUGUGCGGGUCUCAGCAGGGGGUCAGUCUGAGGGCUGCAGCUGAAGACAUGCUUCAGUUUUUAUUUAGUUCUGAUUUUAGAGAAGGAGAGUGAAACUUAAUUCCAGCUAACUCUAUUUAUUCUUCGAUUAUAAACUUUAGUCUGUUUAAUUGGGUCACAUAUUAUUCAUUUAUUGUUUUACUAUUCUGAAUUUUACUCAAAGUAUUUGAUAUCAUUCUGGUCAUUUCUAAAAUAAUCUUUUAGGGUUUUGUCUUACUCCUUAUAUGUGUAUGUUUUUAUACUUUUUAUAAUAUGUUAAUUUCAGCUCCAGUGUUUCCUGUUUUAUUCAGUAACACUUUAGGAAACACACUUUAAUUUUAAAUAAGUUGAUUAUUAUCAUGCAUAUUAGCAACUUAUUAGCUCCCAAUGACUCAUUAUAAAGCAGUUAUUAACAUAUAGUUCUGCAUGAACAUGUUUAAGACUUAUAUGAAGCUUAACUCAGGCCUUUCCCCCUGAAACAUCCUAAUUACUAAUUAUUGAUAUCAACAGAGAAAUGAUCAUAUAUCAGUAACCAUUUUUACAUGCUUCACACAGAAAAGGGAUAAUUAAGGUGGUAAAACAACAAAAAGUAAUUCCACCUUGAUAAAACUGGAUAAAAUGUGAACAAGUCUUGAGAAAAAAAAAAACUCAAAUUGCAGGUGUGUUUAAAAGUGUCUUAUCACUCUAAAUGAGUCAGUUUAACUUUUGUUAUGCCCCACCCGAAGGCAGCCCCAUACAGCUAACAACUAUCCUCACAUUUUGCCCCAUUAAAAAUUAACAAAAUACCGUCAAAAGUUUAUCAAGUUAUUUAUUGUGACAAAAGAGCAAAACUUUUAACUAAACACAAAGAACCAAUAACACAAAUGUGAGGCAGCAGGGCAGCAGUUCCUCACCAAAUGCCUCUGCAGACAGCAGGCAGCUCUUGGCCUUUUAAUUCUCUGUACCAGGUGAAUCUGAUUGGCACUCAGUUAUUUUACCUAGGCACUAGAGGAGACAAAAGAGGAGAAAGAAAAAACACACAAACACACUGCCGUAACACUAUGAGUACAGUGUAACUCAUUCUUAAUUCUGGUUUAUAAAUAUUUCAGUAUAAUAAGAUCCUGUUAACCUGCUCAGCCUUCUCUUUAUUCUAAGAAAAUUAACAAAUAACUCAUAACUACUGCAGACAACAAACACAGUGGUUACAGCUCAGAAUAAUAAGAGCUCUGUUAGAGAUUGUUUAUGUGUGUGUGUGUGUGUGUGUGUGGGGGGGGGGGGUAGUCUGUUAAAUGUGGGCUUGGAGGGUGGGUGGGGUUUUGCAGUUUGUAUUUUAUUUUAUAUUUUAUUUUACAUCCUUUGAUCCCCUCCU